AGCUCUACGGGGUCGACGGCACGCGUCACCACCAGGUAGUCGCGCAGGGCGAUGCCGUGCCGGUUCUC
rnacentral:sRNA from 1 species